UCCAGACUCCUACGGGAGGCAGCAGUGAGGAAUAUUGGUCAAUGGCCGAGAGGCUGAACCAGCCAAGUCGCGUGAGGGAAGACGGCCCUACGGGUUGUAAACCUCUUUUGUCGGGGAGCAAAGCGAACCACGUGUGGUUCAUUGAGAGUACCCGAAGAAAAAGCAUCGGCUAACUCCGUGCCAGCAGCCGCGGUAAUACGUAGGGGGCAAGCGUUAUCCGGAUUUACUGGGUGUAAAGGGAGCGUAGACGGCUGUGCAAGUCUGAAGUGAAAGCCCGUGGCUCAACCGCGGAACUGCUUUGGAAACUGUAUAGCUUGAGUACUGGAGAGGCAGGCGGAAUUCCUAGUGUAGCGGUGAAAUGCGUAGAUAUUAGGAGGAACACCAGUGGCGAAGGCGGCUUACUGGACUGUAACUGACACUGAGGCACGAAAGCGUGGGGAGCAAACAGGAUUAGAUACCCUGGUAUG
rnacentral:rRNA from 1 species